CCUACGGGUGGCAGCAGUGGGGAAUAUUGCACAAUGGGGAAACCCUUGUUCAGCAACGCCCCGGGGGGGAUGAAGGCCUUCGGGGCGGAAAGCCCUUGCCUAAGGGAAGAAUAUUGACCGUAACCUAGGAGGAAACCCCGGCUAACUACGUGCCAGCAGCCGCGGGAAUACGUAGGGGGCUAGCGUUAUCCGGAAUUACUGGGCGUAAAGGGUGCGUAGGCGGCCCUUCAAGUCAGAGGUGAAAGGCUACGGCUCAACCGUAGUAAGCCUUUGAAACUGUAGGGCUUGAGUGCAGGAGAGGAGAGUGGAAUUCCCAGUGUAGCGGUGAAAUGCGUAGAUAUUGGGAGGAACACCAGUUGCGAAGGCGGCUCUCUGGACUGUAACUGACGCUGAGGCACGAAAGCGUGGGGAGCGAACAGGAUUAGAUACCCUGGUAGUC
rnacentral:rRNA from 1 species